CAGUCGCCGCGGUAAAACGUAGGUCCCGAGCGUUGUCCGGAUUUGUUGGGCGUAAAGCGAGCGCAGGCGGUUAGAUAAGUCUGAAGUUAAAGGCCGUGGCUUAACCAUAGUACGCUUUGGAAACUGUUUAACUUGAGUGCAAGAGGGGAGAGUGGAAUUCCAUGUGUAGCGGUGAAAUGCGUAGGUAUAUGGAGGAACACCGGUGGCGAAAGCGGCUCUCUGGCUUGUAACUGACGCUGAGGCUCGAAAGCGUGGGGAGCAAACAGGAUUAGAUACCCCAGUAGUCCCUGUCUCUUAUACA
rnacentral:rRNA from 1 species